rnacentral:rRNA from 1 species
UAUGUGAUCGUCUCUCGCAUAUCAAUAAGCGGAGGAAAAGAAACUAACAAGGAUUCCCUUAGUAACGGCGAGUGAAGCGGGAAGAGCUCAAAUUUGAAAUCUUCAAGGUUUUACCUUGACGAAUUGUAGUUUAAAGAAGUGUUUUCUGUUGAAGUUUUGGUAAAAGUUCUUUGGAAUAGGACAUCAUAGAGGGUGAGAAUCCCGUAUUUGACCAUUAUUUUCAGCUGUGUGAUACACUUUCAAAGAGUCGGAUUGUUUGGGAAUGCAGUCCAAAAUGGGUGGUAAAUUUCAUCUAAAGCUAAAUAUUGGCGAGAGACCGAUAGCGAACAAGUACCGUGAGGGAAAGAUGAAAAGAACUUUGAAAAGAGAGUUAAACAGUACGUGAAAUUGUCAAAAGGGAAGCGUUUGACACCAGUGUUGUUUUCUCGAAAAUCAAUUAAAAAGAGUUUGAUUUUGUUGUGUAUUGACCUUAACAGCUUGCAUUUCAAUUUUCUUGCUUUUUUAAUGCACUUUUCGUUUAACAAGUCAACAUCAGUUUCUUUUGUUGUAAAAAGGUCAUUGGAAGGUGGCUUUCUUUUCGGAGAAAGUGUUUAUAGCCUUUGACUCCUGCAAUCGGAGAGACUGAGGUCUGCAGCGUAGAUCCUUCGGGGUUAGAUACAUUUGUGCUAAGUUAUAGCUUUUUAUAGACAACUUGUUGACUAUGAUUAGUCUUGUAGCUUACUCGCUUAUGCUAUUUUACCUACGCUUAGGAUGUUGAAGAUGUAGCACAUCAU